CCUUAAAGAACCUGCCUUUGUAGUGCUCACACAGAUUGUCUGAUGAACGUAAAGAAGCAAGGCGUCUUGCGAUUGAGACUUCAGUGUCCCCUUCGUCUAGAGGCCCAGGACACCGCCCUCUCACGGCGGUAACAGGGGUUCGAAUCCCCUAGGGGACGCCACUUGCUGGUUCGUGAGUGAAAGACGCGUGCCGAUGUAUCUCAAAACUCAUCUUCGGGUGACGUUUGAGAUAUUUGCUCUUUAAAAAUCUGGAUCAAGCUGAAAAUUGAAACGACACACAGUUAAUGUGUGUUCGAGUCUCUCAAAUUUUCGCAAUCAGAAGUGAAACAUCUUCGGGUUGUGA
rnacentral:misc_RNA from 1 species